AUGCUAGAAUCAAGUGGGCUAAGGGACCUUUUCCGUAAGGGGGAGGGGUUACGACGCAAGGGGGAGGAGCUAGGCCAGCGGGAUAGUUCCUCUACUAUCCACGCCGCUCAGCCGGACACGUCGGGAAGCCGCCGCCCGCCCAGACACUGUGCUCACCACAGACUAGCAGCAGGACAAUGCGUGACACAUCGGGAGACCGUCCCCGUGCCAGCCUGCACACUACAGGGCGAAGUACAGCGCGAGCACCACAAAAGAAGAAAACGAAGUGCAAGCCUACAAUCAUAGAGGAUGAUGAGGUGGCAGGAAGGUAUAUCUACUCAAUACAGCCAGAUAGGAUAUCACCUUUGAAAAAGCAAUGUAUGCAGUGAAACGCGUCAGAUGCUGUCCAUUAUCCACUGGGCAGGACUCCAACCGUGAAGUGCAUGGACCAGUCUCUGGAACUAACUAGAGGAGAACAUCCUUCAAAUCCCUCUUCACCUUCAUCAUUUGUGACAGACUCAGGCAUUACAACAUUGCAUCUCUAGUGAGGACUACCCAUACCAAACAAAGGAUAUAACCAAGAGAUCAUUUCCUUCAGCGGUGAUCAUUGCUGUAACUACCAAUCCUGAUGAACUGUUCUUUGAUAUAGAGGUGUAUGGACUAAAAUUCCAGUUUAAUAACCAGAGAUAGCAAUAGGAACAAGCCUCUUUUACAUAAGGAAAUCCUGACAAACAAGCUGUGUAUAUAUAUGAAUUGUUUAAUUUUAUAGGACAUA